CAGAAAUGAGGAUGCUGUGACACUUUGCCCUCCUGGACGUCUCUGGGGACGCUGGUUGUCUUGAUGAGCUGCUAAAGGAGGUGGGCUCAGGUGAAGAAUCUAUUAAUAUGCAUAAAAGGCCAGAUGGACUGGCCGAAGCCUGGAGCACAAAGGUAAACACAUUGUGAUACAUUCUUUCUCAAUUGGUUGAUUCAUUGCUUCUGAAGGGUAAAUGAGCUGUAGAGGUACCACAGGAAAAACAUCUCCCACAAUAUAGACACUAUUACAGGAAGCCUUGGAAGAUCAAAUCAGCUUUGUCAAAAAGCCUCAAGUUGUAAGGUUGAAUGAAGUUGAAUAUGCAGAAUAAACUGAAGGUGCAGAUUGCCCCAGAGGAAAAAUAAAUGACUACAUUUUUCUGCAUUAUUAUCAACACUGAAGCCUAGCCAACAAGAAACCCU
rnacentral:lncRNA from 1 species